rnacentral:ncRNA from 1 species
GUUCUCUAAUAAGAGAAUAACGCUUGGUUUGUGGUUCCAAGCUAAGUCUAAAUAGUCGUCGAGUUCGCAGUCUUGGACUCGGAUGAGUGACACUGUUUAUGAAGAACGUCCCACAGUAA